CUCUAAUAGGCAGCUUAGACGAGCACCCAAAGCACCAUGGGCCAUUACCUACUCCAUUUUAAGAAGAUCUGCUCAGUAAUAACUGCCCGUUACUGGAAAUUAAGGCACCUGCCUUCUGGCCGCAGCCGGUAAUGUCCGCUGAGAUUGUCAGAUUAUCGAGCUUUCCACCGUCGUUUCAGACACGGGCAGCAGCCGCCCGAGGAGGAGGAGGAGGAGGAGGAGGAGGAGGAGUGAAAUCUGAUACUGUCAUCAGUGUGUGAUAGCUUUGAAACGAGCCUUAGGAGAAGAAGAGGAUGAGCUACGACUCGUGUCUCUGAUUUGGAGUAAAUACAACCGUUCUUUUCUCGAGUCUCAUCAGUUUUACUUCUUCUUUAAUUUGAUGGUAGAUUUGGAAGCUGACGACUCCUCCUGCUCCACCGCUGCUCCUCCUCUGUCUGGUUUUAUCAGCGUCAUAUGAAGCCUCACUGAUACCUGCUCUGCUCUGAACUCAGCGGUCUUUACUGUUACUGAUGGUCUCAUUCACAUAAUUGAAGGUCAGGAAGGGUUUGAAAAUGUGGUAGGUUGAAAGUCAGACGUUUAAAUCCUCAUAUUUUCCAUUACUGUGCCCAAAGGACAAUGCACUCCUGCAGCAGAGCGAGUUAGCGACAAACUUCUUUCCAGCUGCUUGUUGGUAUAAAGACACAACAAGUUCAUGUCAGCAGAAGAAAACUGAAAAGCAGGUCUGAACGGGUGGGUUUUGAUGAGGGGUCUGAACUUUGGUAGAUCAGUAAAGUCCCGGAUGUGUUCGGGGGGAAAGUUCCAACAUCGAUGGAGAAAACCUGGUCCUUCUAGGUUUGGUUCUUGGUCCUCAGAGCAGGACUGAGAAGAUGGGAGUCUGAGGAUCUGAGGGGUGGAGCAGGUCAGUGUGGAGAAGGACUUUAAACUGAAGGUGUUGGUGAACAAGGAGCCAGUGGAGGUUCUGGAGGACUGGAGUGAUGUGGCAGAGAUUUGGAUGUGUUGUAAUUUAUUGAUAAUCUUGAAGGGUGAACCAUCAAGAUACUGUCUCAGCAAUCAAUUCUGGAUGUGAUAAAAACAUGAAUCAGAGAAGAAGAGUGAGGGGCGGAGAUGGGGUGGCAGUGUUGCCAAUCUAGCGACAUAUUUUCAAAAAAGAGCCUAGCGACAAAUCUAAAGACUUUUCCUGGAGUUAAGAGACUCCGACAUAAACGCAGGAAUAGAUGUUACUCUUCUCAACGGUUAGCCGGUUCACCCCGCGGAAGACUCCUUCUUCUCCUCGUCCCGGGCGUGGGGGGGUCGGUGGCGACAGUGGGUUUGACCGAGAAAUUAUGCAAAUUAGGCGAUGACAUCAUCUAGCGACUUCUAGUGACUUUCACGACAGCCACUAGCGACUUCCCUUACUGAGGAGUCGGCAACACUACAGGUUGGACUAAUGCAGUCUGGGUAGCGGCUAAAUUCCACAGGAUACGAACGGUUGUGCCAGUCUGAUCAAAUACGCAAGAAUUAUAAUCAAUGUGAUUCCACACAAUCCGUCCGCCGUCCAGCUCCACUGUGCUGCGCUCCGGCGGUUGGAUCAGAUACGCAAGGCUUCUAUUCUGCCGAACGCCACAGCACAACGCAUCAAUUCAGUGCAGUGCAGAACGGGCAGCAGAAGUUUUAAGCGGCUACAGAGUAAAAUAUCGGGUUAAUGUUCAAAUAAAAUAAAGUCAGUUUGAACUGUUCUUGGCGUGAUAAUGGGAGGGGCCAAGGUUGUGGGAUGUCAGGGUUUAUAUACACCGCCAAUCUCAUUCAAUGUCUCGCGGUGAAACACGAGAGAUCUCGUCCAGUCUCGAGAGAAAUAUCGGGAAUAUCGCAAGCGCUUCGGUGGGCGCUGUAUGCUUGCAUUUUUGAUCCGCUUGUCAUUCUAAGGCGAAGUGGAGCGGAUCUGAAUAGCUAUUUACGCCACAUCUGCAUCCCGGCAUAAUGUGAUGAACACAGUGUUGGGAUUUGAGGUUGGCGUCAAAGGUUAUGGUGGUCAUGGUCAUGGUGGUUGAAUGAUGGAGUGAGGGUGGAGUUAUCAGAAUUGAGGCGUAGGUUCUGAGCUGAUUUAGGGUCAAAGAUUAAGAUGUCGGAUUUACCUGAGUUCAGUUGAAAGUGGAGAGUGUCGACCAGCUGGUUGGAGUUACGGAUUAUGGUGAAAAAGAUUGAAAUUUAACUAAAAUCAAAAUAAUAUUCCCUCCAAAGACAGAAUCCGAGAGGGCCUGUUGGUUUAACCAUAAACAAAACCCACAAAUAGGACAAAGGUCAGAGGUCAGAGGUCUGAGGUCUCGAACCCUCAACAGACCGACUUUGACCUGUGUGACCGAACGCUUCAGCACAGAUCAGAGCUGAGAUUGAAAAUCUUUUUUUUUUCAGCUGAGAAAAUCCAUUUCCUCCUCUAAUUUAGGUUUUAUUCGAAAAAAUAAUCACUUAAUAAAAAUUCAGAACAUUCAACAGAGAAAAAAAAACCCGAUGUGAAUUCUCAUCCCGAAAACUAAUUUAGGAGCUGAUGAUAAAUUUAAUUUGAGGGAAUAUGGUGUUCUGGCUUCGAUCUGUGACCUCGUCGUAUCUCUUUAUUGGAGCAGUCUGUGAGAUGUUUUAAAUGAUGCAGCUUAAUUCAGACGAGAGGAGAAUGAAUCAGAUUUGUGUAAUUUGAAUUAUUUAAAUAUGAUCAGAGUUUUGCUGUUUCAUUACCCAAUUAAAAGAAAAAAGAAAAAGCUGCAGAGCUGUUAGGAGUUCAGAUAUCCACACUGCGCGGAAGUUUAUGUCUUGGCUGGAAGUUUUCUGCGUUGGUCAGCAUUGUGUUGCUCAGUUUACUGCCCCUUUAGAGGAGCAAUUAAAGCCGAAGUAACUCUCUUUUAAAGUAGCUGUUGAGUGGAAAUGUCACUGCGGUUAAACUUGGAGAAACUUUUUGCUGCCUCAGAGCCAAUGUGACCCCUGGGUGCAGAUCUUCAGGGUCUGAGGCCCAUCUGGACGCUCCCCUGUAACGCUGCUGUGACGUUUAGGUGGACAGGAGAGGACACGGGACACCUGCAGAGGUAGGGAAGGAAGGAAGGAUGAUGGGUAAAGUGACUCAGCAUGAAGGAGUGUGAAUUUAACUGAGCCUGUGUAAUCUACAGGCAGCAGAGUCCAAAGUGAUCCAGUGGACCCUUUAAAAGUUCACACACAGUGAGGACAUCAAGACCUCUGCAGGAAACUUGCCGUGUUUUUACUGUGAAUGCAAAAAUCAGUUAAAGGACUCACAGUACUGUAUAUCUGCAUGGAAAUGAAGCAAUAAUCCACCCUGAGAUACCACCUACUCAAUUUCAACCCCAAAGGAGGGUCAGUGGACUGCAAAGGGUUGGAUAAACAAAAGAAGCUGGUCAAGACCGGAUCAUCCAAUCUUCAAACAUGAGUGAAAGUGAAUUUAUCAGGUUACAGUAGAGAGGAGAAACGUCCUUUAACAGGCAGUAGUGAUGGGAAGAUCAGUUCUUUUGACUCUACUGACUCUUUAGAAUCCGUUCAUUAAAACGAUCUGUUCAAAAGAUUCGUUCACUGAAUCAGUCAGUGCUUCAGAGCCCCAUCCUGCCGGUGCAGUACACCAGUGAGUGACACAGCAGCGAGUUCGUUCAUAAGCCCCUCCCCCGCUGCUGAAGUCACAGCGUCGUUCACUGGGUGACACAUGUCGUUCAUCCGCCAAGUCCUGAAGGAAGAAUCACUCCCCUGCCCUGAAGUUAUCAAAUAGCUGUUGCAGCUGAAAUUAAAUCCUUCUUGCGGGAAAGUUUAUACACUUGUAUUAAUGUAAAGACACUAUAAUGACCUGUUUUAUCUUAGCCUCAGUCAACGAACCGCUGCUCGGCAGUAAGUGAACGACUCUACACCCCUCCCUCCUCUGCCUGCCUCAAGUCAUUUGGAAGUCGUUCGUUUCAUUCACAGUCUGAGAUAUGUCGUUCACAGUCUGACUGAUACAUAAGGCAAAUCACGAGACUCCGCCCACUCGCUUGUUGGCCAGCUGUGUGUCCUUCGCCAAAGAGUCAAAGGUGGCAGUUCCACUCCCAACCGGCACGUCAUGCUCGCGGCUGAGCUCAACUGAACUGAGAAAUGAACAAAUCAGGUCUCGGAGUGAUUCCUACACGUCGUUCACUCAGCAGUUCAGUUCUUUUGAAUGAAACGUUCAUGAACGUCACAACGCUAACAGGCAGAAACCUCGAGCAGAACCAGACUGAUGUUAGACAGUCAUCUGCUGAGACUGAAAUGGAGAGAGAGAGAGGGCGAGAGAGAGAGAAAGAGUGAGAGAGAGAAAGAGAGAGAGAGUGAGUUCAGAGAUUCCAGUCAUCAUCAUGAGCCAAGAAAUCUUCCCAAUCAUGGAACACCCUCUCCAUUCUGCUCCAUCCCUUUGAAAGGUCUUCCAGUAGCGCCAGUGCAUCCGUUGUGCCGCAUUGUGCACGACUGUCACUACAUGGCUAUUUCAAUGCUCUCAGCCAUUAACCAUUCAUUCCACACCUUGUCACAAGUGUCUCCAAAAGGUGCGUGCGCAAGGUGCGAAGUUGGUGCACAUUCCGAUGCUACAUUUUUAUUAUUAUUUUUAAAUAAAUCCCAAUUCUUGCGUAGGAAGUGGCUAACACAACAUUCAAGCCCUGUUUUGUGUGUGAGGAAGCUUUAUAAAUGAGGCCUCUGGUCUUGGUCCUCCAGAUGUGACUUUGAUUCAGAUUAUAGUUUGUGAAGAUAAAGUCAGAAGUUUGUUUAGAUAAAGUGAGAGACUAUUCUGGGAAACUUCUAGAAGUCUUUCAAUGUUGUGACCACAUUAUUCCUCGAAAAAGCUCUAAUGUGAAAGUGCUUUUUCUUACAAUACUCAGCUGACACAGAGGAGGAAGUUUAGAGUGAACCACUUUGUUUUAAUAUGAUGAUUGAUCUGCCCACAUACGGCUAAGUGUUGAGGUUGAUGCCAUUUCAGAUUUGUUUUCUAUCACUGAGCUAAUUAGAAAUGAAGGGGAGGGGUCAUGAAGAAAACAAAGUUGGGUUGACCAAAUAUGCUCUGCCCUCUUCCAGGAACUUCCAAUGAUAUAUAAACUUCAACUUCUGUGUGCAGAGAGUGUAGAGACCGGGAUCCUGACCAUCUGUGCAGAUAUUCACCAUCAUGAUGUUGGCAGGUUUCUUCUUCUUUCUUCUCCUCCUCACAGGUAAGCUGGCUCAGUCCUGUACAAUACAAGUUUGACUUUUACUGCUGUAUGUAUUUAUCAGAAUUAUUACUAUUAUUAUUAUUUUUAUUACUUAAAUAUCAUGCAUGUCAGUGGUGUUUCAGGCUUUUUGACAAUCAACAGUAGAAAGGGAACCUCCUGUGAGCCAUGGUACAUGAGAUUAGAUAAGAUUAGAUUCAACUGUAUUGUCAUUACACUUGUUCAGAACAAUGCAACGAAAUGCAGUUUAGUGUCUAACCAGAAGUACAAUAGUGCAAGUAUCAGAUAUUACUUACAACAUCAAUAUAUGUAUAUAUAUAUACACACAUUACAGGCCAAAAGUUAGGACACACCUUCUCAUUCAAUGUCUUUUCUUUAUUUUUUAUAUUAAUAUUUACAUUGCAGAUUAUCACUGAAGGUAUCAAAAUUAUGAAUGAACCUGUGGUAUAAAUGGUGCUCUGCAGAUAAACUAAACUCAAAAUAUAAAUCCUACCACAAAGCCUAUUUGAUUAUAAGAAUGAUUCUGUGCAGGAGAGAAGAUGCAAAUGAAUCAGUCACUAACAUUUACCAUAUAAAUGUGUGUGCUCCUUAAUUUAGGUGGAAGUGCAGACCAGUCUCCAGAUUAUUCUUCCUAUGACGAGAGUUAC